GACCCGUAGUUAUAGCCUGUUUGGACUUCUAUUCUCGAUCCAUGUGAAACUUAAAGCAUUUCUCAACAUGGCUUCCGAAAAACGCUUGAAUCGGCAGUUUUUUAAGAGCUAGGUCUGAGCGAUGCAACACAACGCAUGUGUGGUGGAUGCGGAUGUACGCGUGGGGAUACGCGGGAGACGUCGUGUUGUUUCCGGAAGCGGCGCCAUAAAUCCGCGCACCCUUCUCCAAUGGCUCACUCUCUCCUCUCUUCACACUCUCAUCGACGACUGAGCACCGACAGCGAGCAUCGGUGGCAAGAUCUGGACAAAGGGCAACGUCACCUCUCCUUCACACGUCCGGCAAUGGCAAAUGACAAGCUCGUCCUCAACAAUGCAGCUUCAGGGAACUCCUCAAAGGGCAAGAAUGUUUUAUUUGACAAGAAGGGCAAGGUGAUGGUGGAGCUCGCAACGCCCCGAAGAGGCGUAAGAACUAUGACCACUUCCAUGAGGACGUCAAGUCACUUAUGCAAGGUCAUACUUGCACCCCUAGUUGGAGUGUCUGCCGCCCUGUGACUUAACCAAGCACUUGACCAUUGUCCCACCACAAUUCGUGCUGAGGACGAGCACCAGCUGCGUCUGGAGGAUCAUGGUCCGGACGAUCAACAACAGACUCACCCUUGAUAAAGGUUUGGCCCCCUUCACCGUUUCUCACCAUAUCAAGAUCGGGUACCUCGUCACCUUACAAGCUGCCGAGUCCCGACACCUUGCUGGUGAUCGUCUUCAAUGACGAUGUGGUUGAGUUGGUGGCCAAGUGCAAGGAGCAUGAAGAGGCAUUUGCCAUGGACCCUUCAGGUGUUAUCUUUGCGCCUUUUAGUUUAAGUUGGACAAUUAGUUUGAGACUCUGGUGACUCUUUUAGUAAGUGUGUGUUACUCCCUCUUGUACUAAAUCAACAACAAUUAAUAUAGAUGGAGUAGUUUAA